CAUAUCAAUAAGCGGAGGAAAAGAAACUAACAAGGAUUCCCCUAGUAACUGCGAGUGAAGCGGGAAAAGCUCAAAUUUAAAAUCUGGCGGUCUUUGGCUGUCCGAGUUGUAAUCUAGAGAAGUGCUAUCCGCGUUGGACCGUGUACAAGUCUCCUGGAAUGGAGCGUCAUAGAGGGUGAGAAUCCCGUCUUUGACACGGACUGCCAGGGCUUUGUGAUGCGCUCUCAAAGAGUCGAGUUGUUUGGGAAUGCAGCUCAAAAUGGGUGGUAAAUUCCAUCUAAAGCUAAAUAUUGGCGAGAGACCGAUAGCGAACAAGUACCGUGAGGGAAAGAUGAAAAGAACUUUGGAAAGAGAGUUAAACAGUACGUGAAAUUGCUGAAAGGGAAACGCUUGAAGUCAGUCGCGUUGUCCAGGGAUCAACCUUGCUUUUGCUUGGUGCACUUUCUGGUUGACGGGUCAGCAUCAAUUUUGACUAUUGGAAAAAGAUCAGGGGAAUGUGACAUCUUCGGAUGUGUUAUAGCCCUUGGUUGCAUACAAUAGUUGGGAUUGAGGAACUCAGCACGCCGCAAGGCCGGGUUUUCAACCACGUACGUGCUUAGGAUGCUGGCAUAAUGGCUUUAAUCGACCCGUCUUGAAACACGGACCAAGGAGUCUAACAUGCCUGCGAGUGUUUGGGUGGAAAACCCGAGCGCGUAAUGAAAGUGAAAGUUGAGAUCCCUGUCGUGGGGAGCAUCGACGCCCGGACCAGACCUUUUGUGACGGCUCCGCGGUAGAGCAUGUAUGUUGGGACCCGAAAGAUGGUGAACUAUGCCUGAAUAGGGUGAAGCCAGGGGAAACCCUGGUGGAGGCUCGUAGCGAUUCUGACGUGCAAAUCGAUCGUCAAAUUUGGGUAUAGGGGCGAAAGACUAAUCGAACCAUCUAGUAGCUGG
rnacentral:rRNA from 1 species